rfam:Papio anubis isolate 1X1155 chromosome 3, whole genome shotgun sequence.
AGAUGUGAGGGUGAUCUGGCUGCGACAUCUGUUGCUCCAUUGAUCACCAGGGUUGAUUCAGCUGAUCUGGCUAGCUAGGUGGGUGUCCCCUUCCUCCCUCACCACUCCACAUGCAUCCCUCCCAAAGCUGCAUGCUGGGUGAAUAGGAUGACCAUCCCCAAUAGAGGAGGACCAGUCUUUGGUGAAGGGUAUACAAGUAACUGUGCUCCCUUGCUAGAACCUCCAAACAAGCUCUCAAGACUGGCUGCUUCUGGUUCUACUAUAUUAUGAACUUGGAAAUUAUGGACUUUAGAAACAAGAAAAGACUAAGGAAGUAUAACUCCUUUAAUACUU